rnacentral:rRNA from 1 species
UUUCGCAAUGCCCGAAAGGGUGACGAAGCGACGCCGCGUGUGGGAAGAAGGCCUUCGGGUUGUAAACCACUGUCGGGAGUUAGGAAAUGCAGGUGCGUUAAUAGCGCACUUGCUUGACUAAGGCUCCAGAGGAAGCCACGGCUAACUCUGUGCCAGCAGCCGCGGUAAUACAGAGGCGGCAAGCGUUGUUCGGAAUUAUUGGGCGUAAGGAGCACGUAGGCGGUCUUGCAAGUCAGUUGUGAAAGCCUUCCGCUUAACGGAAGAACGGCAUCUGAUACUACAGGGCUUGAGUACGGGAGGGGAGAGUGGAACUUCUGGUGGAGCGGUGAAAUGCGUAGAUAUCAGAAGGAACGCCGGCGGCGAAAGCGACUCUCUGGUCCGAAACUGACGCUGAGUGUGCGAAAGCUAGGGGAGCAAACGGGAUUAGAUACCCCGGUAGUCCUAGCCGUAAACGAUGGGCACUAAGUAGAGGGGUUUU